UCUGAGGUGGCGACCGGCGCACGGGUGAGUAACACGUAUGCAACCUGCCUGUAAGAGGGGGAUAACCCGUUGAAAGACGGACUAAUACCGCAUAAUACUGAAUAACCGCAUGGUUAAUUAGUUAAACAUUUAUGGCUUACAGAUGGGCAUGCGCAUGAUUAGCUAGUUGGUGAGGUAACGGCUCACCAAGGCAACGAUCAUUAGGGGUUCUGAGAGGAAGGUCCCCCACACUGGUACUGAGACACGGACCAGACUCCUACGGGAGGCAGCAGUGAGGAAUAUUGGUCAAUGGGCGAGAGCCUGAACCAGCCAAGUCGCGUGAAGGAUGAAGGUUUUAUGAAUUGUAAACUUCUUUUGCAGGGGAAUAAAGUACGGUACGUGUACCGUUUUGUAUGUACUCUGCGAAUAAGGAUCGGCUAACUCCGUGCCAGCAGCCGCGGUAAUACGGGGGGGUCGGGGGGGUUAUCCGGAUUUAUUGGGUUUAAAGGGUGCGCAGGCGGGUUGAUAAGUCAGCGGUGAAAGUUUGCAGCUUAACUGUAAAAUUGCCGUUGAAACUGUCGAUCUUGAGUGCAAAUGAGGUAAGCGGAAUGUGUUGUGUAGCGGUGAAAUGCUUAGAUAUAACACAGAACACCGAUUGCGAAGGCAGCUUACUGGGAUGCAACUGACGCUCAUGCACGAAAGCGUGGGGAUCAAACAGGAUUAGAUACCCUGGUAGUCCACGCAGUAAACGAUGAAUACUAACUGUUUGCGAUAUACAGUAAGCGGUACAGCGAAAGCGUUAAGUAUUCCACCUGGGGAGUACGUUCGCAAGAAUGAAACUCAAAGGAAUUGACGGGGGCCCGCACAAGC
rnacentral:rRNA from 1 species